rnacentral:rRNA from 1 species
AAUGAACGUUGGCGGCGUGGAUUAGGCAUGCAAGUCGAGCGAAUGUCAGCUAUGUAGCAAUACGUGACUGGCGGAAGCGGCGAAAGGGAGAGUAACGCGUAGUUACGUACCCCGAGGCCCGGAAUAGCCACGGGAAACUGUGGGUAAUGCCGGAUAAUAUCUUAGGAUCAAAGAUGUGAUUUCACCUUGGGAGCGGACUGCGUCGUACUAGCUUGUUGGUGGGGUAAUGGCCUACCAAGGCGAUGAUGCGUAGCGGGUGUGAGAGCAUGACCCGUCUCACUGGGACUGAGACACUGCCCAGACACCUACGGGUGGCUGCAGUCGAGAAUCUUCGGCAAUGGACGAAAGUCUGACCGAGCGACGCCGCGUGCGGGAUGAAGGCCUUCGGGUUGUAAACCGCGAAAGUAGGGAGGAAGGCUUCGUGAAGAACGAGGUUUGACCAAUCUACAGUAAGGACGGGCUAAGUACGUGCCAGCCGCCGCAGUAAGAC